rnacentral:rRNA from 1 species
GCAAGGAAUUUUGCGCAAUGGGCGAAAGCCUGACGCAGCAACGCCGCGUGGGUGAAGAAGGCCUUCGGGUCGUAAAGCCCUUUUGUUGGGGAAGAAGUUCUGACGGUACCCAACGAAUAAGCCUCGGCUAACUACGUGCCAGCAGCCGCGGUAAUACGUAGGAGGCGAGCGUUAUCCGGAUUUAUUGGGCGUAAAGAGCGCGUAGGCGGCCUAUUAAGUCGGUUGUGAAAUCUCCCGGCUCAACUGGGAGGGGUCGACCGAAACUGGUGGGCUUGAGGACAGCAGAGGGAAGUGGAAUUCCCGGUGUAGUGGUGAAAUGCGUAGAUAUCGGGAGGAACACCAGUGGCGAAGGCGGCUUUCUGGGCUGUUCCUGACGCUGAGGCGCAAAAGCGUGGGGAGCAAACAGGAUUAGAAACCCCGGUAGUCC